UGAAUACGAGAUGCUACGGCGUCGAAGCAGUCUAUGUCAUACUUCCAAGAAAAGCUUGCACUGUCAUAAACAAAUAAUGCCUGUACCAUAACCGACACAGGUGGGUAGGUAGAGUAUACUAAGGGGCGCGAGAUAACUCUCUCUAAGGAACUCGGCAAAAUGACUCCGUAACUUCGGGAGAAGGAGUGCCUUAUUUAUAAGGUUGCAAUAACAAGAUCCAAGCAACUGUUUACCAAAAACACAGGUCUCCGCUAAGUCGUAAGACGAUGUAUGGGGGCUGACGCCUGCCCAGUGCCAGAAGGUUAAAGAAGUUGGUUAGCAUCCGCGAAGCUGAUAACUGAAGCCCUGGUGAACGGCGGCCGUAACUAUAACGGUCCUAAGGUAGCGAAAUUCCUUGUCGGGUAAGUUCCGACCCGCACGAAAGGCGUAAUGAUUUGGAUACUGUCUCGGAGAGGGGCUCGGUGAAAUAGACUUGUCUGUGAAGAUGCGGACUACCUGCACCAGGACAGAAAGACCCUAUGAAGCUUUACUGUAACCUGAAAUUGAAAUUGGACUUUACUUGCGCAGUAUAGGUGGGAGGCGUUGAGAAUAUUCUUGCGGGAUUAUUGGAGCCAUCAGUGAGAUACCACUCUUGUAAUGUUAGAUUUCUAACUUUGUAUCAUUAUCUGGUCAAAGAACAGUUUCAGGCGGGCAGUUUGACUGGGGCGUUCGCCUCCUAAACGGUAACGGAGGCGCACAAAGGUUUCCUCUGAACGGGUAGAAAUCGUAUCUAGAGUGUAAAGGCAUAAGGAAGCUUGACUGUGAGACCUACAAGUCGAGCAGGGACGAAAGUCGGUCUUAGUGAUCUGACGGUGCUGAGUGGAAAGGCCGUCACUCAACGGAUAAAAGUUACUCUAGGAUAACAGGCUGAUCUCCCCCAAGAGUUCACAUCGACGGGGAGGUUUGGCACCUCGAUGUCGGCUCAUCGCAUCCUGGGGCGGUAGUACGUCCCAAGGGUUGGGCUGUUCGCCCAUGAAAGCGGUACGCGAGCUGGGUUCAGAACGUCGUGAGACAGUUCGGUCCAUAUCCGGUGUAGGCGUUAGAAUAUUGAGAGGAGCCUUCUUUAGUACGAGAGGACCGAGAAGGACAUACCUCUGGUGUACCAGUUAUCGUGCCAACGGUAAACGCUGGGUAGCUAUGUGUGGAGUGGAUAACCGCUGAAAGCAUCUAAGUGGGAAGCCCACCUCAAGAUAAGUA
rnacentral:rRNA from 1 species